GUGGGGAAUAUUGGACAAUGGGCGCAAGCCUGAUCCAGCCAUGCCGCGUGUGUGAUGAAGGCCUUAGGGUUGUAAAGCACUUUUGUCCGGGAAGAUAAUGACUGUACCGGAAGAAUAAGCCCCGGCUAACUUCGUGCCAGCAGCCGCGGUAAUACGAAGGGGGCUAGCGUUGCUCGGAAUCACUGGGCGUAAAGGGCGCGUAGGCGGACUCUUAAGUCGGGGGUGAAAGCCCAGGGCUCCACCCUGGAAUUGCCUUGGAUACUGAGAGUCUUGAGUUCGGAAGAGGUUGGUGGAACUGCGAGUGUAGAGGUGAAAUUCGUAGAUAUUCGCAAGAACACCAGUGGCGAAGGCGGCCAACUGGUCCGAUACUGACGCUGAGGCGCGAAAGCGUGGGGAGCAAACAGGAUUAGAUACCCUGGUAGUCC
rnacentral:rRNA from 1 species